rnacentral:rRNA from 1 species
UUAUUCAACGGCCGCGGUAUCCUAACCGUGCGAAGGUAGCGUAAUCACUUGUUCUUUAAAUAAGGACUAGUAUGAAUGGCACCACGAGGGUUCUACUGUCUCCUUUUUUUAAUCAGUGAAACUAAUCUCCCCGUGAAGAAGCGGGGAUCUUUAUAUAAGACGAGAAGACCCUAUGGAGCUUUAAACAACCAACAUUUGCUACACCAUAACAUUUUCCCUAAAAGAAGUAUAGCAUUAUGAUUAUUAGUUUUCGAUUGGGGUGAUCACGGAGUAAAAUAUAACCUCCAUGCCGAAAGGGUUCUUACCCUGAGCAAAAAGCCACAGCUUUAAGCACUAAAAAAUUAACGCAGUUUGACCCAAUAUUUUGAUCAACGAACCAAGUUAC